UUUAUGCUUUUCGAAUGAGAUUUUAAUGAAUGUAAAUGACAUAAAGGGGCCUCAAAGAUUACUGUCACAAGAGAAAUGAUUGGAUAUAGAUUUCAAAACUUUACCGAAGAGGAAUUUAAAACCAUGAAUAAGACAAUUCAACAUGCGAAGACAAAAUAUGAAAGAUC